rnacentral:lncRNA from 1 species
UAGAAUCCAUAACACAUCAAAAUGAUUCAAAAUAAAAAACCCUAAUCUCUAACGAAAUGAAAGGAUCUAACUAGAACUCACCUCUAACACAUGGAGAUGGUGAAAAUGAUGAGUUGAAAUUGGUAAUGAUGAACUUCCAUGGUUCUUCUUCUUCCUUCUUUCUUCUUUCUCUCUUCUUCUUUCUUCUCUUUUUCAUCUUCUCUUCUUCUUACUGACAUUUCUUUCCUCUCUCUUGUUCUUAUCCUUUC